rnacentral:lncRNA from 1 species
UUUUUUUUCCUUUUUUUUUUUUAAGGAAGAUUGGCCCUGAGCUCACAUCUGUUGCCAAUCUUCCUCUUUUUGCUUGAGGAAGGUUGUCGCUGAGCUAACAUCUGUGCCAAUCUUCCUCUAUUUUAUGUGGGACGCAGCCACAGCAUGGCUUGACGAGUGGUGUUAGGUCUGUGCCAGGAUCCAAACUUGCCAACCCCAGGCUACUGAAGCAGAGUGCUUGAACUUAACCACUACGCCACAGGGCUGGCCCCUGGGUUCUCACUAUUUUUAAGUGUGUAAAAAUAUUUGUGGACAUAAAAUUUGAGAAAAGUUGGAGUAAAAGAUAAAUAUAAUUUUCAGUAAAACUUCUUUCAGCAGACUCACUCAGGCAAGUCUAGCUUCUUGCUAGCUUCUGACACCUAGACUCCAGGCACAAAAUACAUGUGACCUAGAGAUUUAGUCAUUGGCAGAUAAUAUGAUGAGUAUGGUUUAAACCGACUUGUACAACUUUGGCCCUUUAGGAUCAAAAUGAAUUUGAUGUCUACUUUGAUCAAAUUGAUCAGGAACUGACUAGCUGUGUUCGUUACUUUGUAGACACAGAGUCAGGAGAGUUCUGUGUAGUAAGAGGCAUUUCCCUCACUGACACAGCCCGUGUGACUCAGGGUCUCUGGUGGCCAGCAACAGAGCUGACGGGCUAAUUGGGCAGAGACGUUGUUUAUCAAAAGAGCAUUGGGAGCUUUCAGAAUUCUUAGGAGAAAUGCAGAGAGAGGCUUGACUGGGUUUCCAGGAGCAAAGAAAAUGUCAUUCCACAGAACCGUAACGUUGGGGGGACCACUGCGCCUGCCGUUGUCUCACCAAGCUGUCGAGGAAACCCCCGCUGCCGCUGUGCCAGGAUCUCAACCUUGCAGACUCCAUCACCCCAAAAGUCAGACCCCUUGCUACCGUUCUUGCCAGCAAAGAUGGAUCUCCUGCGAAAUCCCUUUCCUUGAUCGCUCUCUUCGGAAUCAAAGUUUAUAGGAAUGUGUUUAUCCGGCAGAACCUGAGACACACACCUUCAUCCUAGUUGCAGGAAAGGCUGGAGUUCGAUUUUGAGUUUUCUAGGUUCUACCUCGGAGAGGUAGGAUGCACAGGGAUGAAAUCAUCCACAUCUAGCAAGGGCAUUUACCAGGAGCUGAGAAGUCAGAAAACACGACAGACGUCUGCAACACAUGGUGUAAGUCACUGAGUUGUGCUUAUGAGGAAAGCUCCAGGGUUAGGUGGAUCCGGGUUUGAAUUCUGACUCUGUUGCUGUUCCAUGGCGAGAUGAGUCUGGGAGAUAAAAAAGGCUUUCUCACUGCAGGACUUCUCAGAGCCUUUGUCCUGAUAACAUCCAUUGAGAAUCUUUGAGAGGGACACAUAGCGACAGUCCCCAGUGUUAUCCCAAGAGGACUUUGUGGGAUUAGCACUCUCGGGAGCACUUUGGGAAACGCUGGAUGACCUCAGACGUCACGUCAAGCUAUCAAGAAGGGGACAUUUGGAUGCAGAUGCUCAAAGAUGGAAGGUGGGGUGAAGACACAGGGAGGAUGCCACGUGAAGGUGAGGCAGAGACAGGAGGUGCGAAGCCACAAGCCAAGCAGUGUCAGGGGCUAUCUGAAGCUGAAGGACGCCAGGGAGGAUCUUUCUCCUGUAGGUUUCAUGGGGAAUGUGGCCUUGCUGCCUCCUUGAUUUUGGACUCUAGCCUCGAGAGCUGUGAAAUCAUAAAUUUCUGUCCCUCUUAGCCACGGGGUUUGUGGUACUUUGUUACAACAUCUCCGGGAAACUAACGCAGCCGAUGUGAUACGAGCCCUGAGAUGUUGCUUCCAGGCUCCUUGUCAGUCAGACCCAAGUGUGAGCAACGAGCACAGCAGUGCACAGCUGGCCUGCCGGGAAAGCCAGUGGCCUCGGCCCUGGGGAAGCAGGGCUUCUGUUUAACAGCUGAGAACAGGGAGUCUCCGUGCUGCCCUCCUCCCCAUCUCCCUCCUCCCCCUCUUCUCGCCUCAGCAGCAAACAAGUGAGCUCGGAGGCUCUUAAACCUUCUAUAAACAAACAGAACCCCUUGCUGUUCACUGUUCCAAUGUGUCUGGGCAGGGCUGUUUCCUUGUGCUGGGCUGCUGGGCCGUGGAAUGUGACCUCUCUCUGUGGAAAGAGCCCAGAACGAGCUUUGCCAGCGGAGUUGGCAGAUGCUGAGCUGCCCCCGGUGCAGACACCUGUUGCUUGAGUCUAUUUGUGGAGACCUCCUGGGUGCUCACUGCCCCCGGCAGGGCUCGAGUCUCUGACUAUGUGAGCCACUUCUGCAUCAUGGAAAUGAGACCUUCCGAUUACGAGCCUAUCACAGGUUACUGAGGCCUUAGGGGCACACGAACAGAUUUAAUCCUGGCAUCGACUCUAUAAAACAGGCAGGGCAGCCCCAUUAUACUGCUGAGCAAACUGAGGCCCAGAUGGAUGAAAGGGCUUUUCCCAGGGUCGUAGCAUUAAUUCAUGGUAGGGCUGAGCCUCUCCUGAAACAGGAGCUGCACACGGGAAGAACUAGAUGUUGAUCUGAGAAACCAUAGGGUCAAGGCAGUGGAUAGCUGGUGGAUGGAGGAAGGGGCUGCUGCCCAAGGGAAGCAUUGAGAAACGAGAGAUUGGGGGCCAAAGAGCCCCAACUUUGGAGUCAGAACUGAGUUUGAAUCCAGGUUCUGCCAAAUACUAGCUGCAUGGCUGGGCAAAUUGCUCUCUGUGCCUUGGUUUAUCUGAUAAAUGAAGAAAAUGAUUGUACCUACUUCAUUAGGUUGUUCUGGCUAUUAGGUGACAGGAGACAUGUAUUUAGGUUGGCGUCCCCCUGUGUGGGACCCACUCACUCAAUCACAGGUAUGACUGUAGAGCUGGUCAUCAGCAGCCCCUAGCACGCUGACCUGGUGGAUGCCGGUCCCUCUGUGGUAGGUAGGCUCGAUUUUGGAAAGAAGAGGACCACACUGACGAGGGGGUGGGAGGUGGCUCUGGGCCGGCAAAGGCCCUCGCAGCUUGUGAGAGCUGGAGGGCGAUAGGGGAUCCAAGCCCACAGAGGCUAUUCAGCUUACUCUAAGGGCCUGAGAACAAAACAAAACAAAACCUGGUACGAAGUUUCCAAAACGCUCUCAAGUGCUGCCAAGCCUGGAUCUGCUUUCUGAGCCACACCUGGGCGGCUUCAUCUCCCACUCCCUUCAGAGGCAAAGCGCUGUGACCCUUCGGGUGCAAGAAUCAACCCUGAGCAAUGUAGCAACCUUGCUUGUUUUCCUAGGGAGGCUCCCGGCUCCCACCCCCGCGCCUCUCAUGCAGAGCUGUGCCAAACGAAAAUAAGGACAAUAACAGUAAUAACGCUGACUUCGUAACAUUGUGAAGCUUCAAACAGCAGAGGUAAAUACAUCAUGAAAAUGCAGGAUGCCGGAGACUUCCCAUCACGUCCUGAUAUCCUCCUCUCAUCUUCUAGAUAUUAUGGGGCUGACCCCGUGGCCGAGUGGUUAAGUUCGUGUGCUCUGCUGCAGGCGGCCCAGUGUUUCGUUGGUUUGAAUCCUGGGCGCGGACAUGGCACUGCUCAUCAAACCAUGCUGAGGCAGCGUCCCACAUGCCACAACUAGAAGGACCCACAACAAAGAAUAUACAACUAUGUACCAGGGGUCUUUGGGGAGAAAAAGGAAAAAAAAUAAAAUCUUUAAAAAAAA